rnacentral:rRNA from 1 species
GGGGAAGUGUUGCGGGUCUAUACAUGCAAGUCGAGCGGACCGACGGGAGCUUGCUCCCUUAGGUCAGCGGCGGACGGGUGAGUAACACGUGGGUAACCUGCCUGUAAGACUGGGAUAACUCCGGGAAACCGGGGCUAAUACCGGAUGCUUGAUUGAACCGCAUGGUUCAAUCAUAAAAGGUGGCUUUUAUCUACCACUUACAGAUGGACCCGCGGCGCAUUAGCUAGUUGGUGAGGUAACGGCUCACCAAGGCGACGAUGCGUAGCCGACCUGAGAGGGUGAUCGGCCACACUGGGACUGAGACACGGCCCAUACUCCUACGGGAGGCAGCAGUAGGGAAUCUUCCGCAAUGGACGAAAGUCUGACGGAGCAACGCCGCGUGAGUGAUGAAGGUUUUCGGAUCGUAAAACUCUGUUGUUAGGGAAGAACAAGUACCGUUCGAAUAGGGCGGUACCUUGACGGUACCUAACCAGAAAGCCACGGCUAACUACGUGCCAGCAGCCGCGGUAAUACGUAGGUGGCAAGCGUUGUCCGGAAUUAUUGGGCGUAAAGCGCGCGCAGGCGGUUUCUUAAGUCUGAUGUGAAAGCCCCCGGCUCAACCGGGGAGGGUCAUUGGAAACUGGGGAACUUGAGUGCAGAAGAGGAGAGUUGAAUUCCACGUGUAGCGGUGAAAUGCGUAGAGAUGUGGAGGAACACCAGUGGCGAAGGCGACUCUCUGGUCUGUAACUGACGCUGAGGCGCGAAAGCGUGGGGAGCGAACAGGAUUAGAUACCCUGGUAGUCCACGCCGUAAACGAUGAGUGCUAAGUGUUAGAGGGUUUCCGCCCUUUAGUGCUGCAGCAAACGCAUUAAGCACUCCGCCUGGGGAGUACGGUCGCAAGACUGAAACUCAAAGGAAUUGACGGGGGCCCGCACAAGCGGUGGAGCAUGUGGUUUAAUUCGAAGCAACGCGAAGAACCUUACCAGGUCUUGACAUCCUCUGACAACCCUAGAGAUAGGGCUUCCCCUUCGGGGGCAGAGUGACAGGUGGUGCAUGGUUGUCGUCAGCUCGUGUCGUGAGAUGUUGGGUUAAGUCCCGCAACGAGCGCAACCCUUGAUCUUAGUUGCCAGCAUUCAGUUGGGCACUCUAAGGUGACUGCCGGUGACAAACCGGAGGAAGGUGGGGAUGACGUCAAAUCAUCAUGCCCCUUAUGACCUGGGCUACACACGUGCUACAAUGGGCAGAACAAAGGGCAGCGAAGCCGCGAGGCUAAGCCAAUCCCACAAAUCUGUUCUCAGUUCGGAUCGCAGUCUGCAACUCGACUGCGUGAAGCUGGAAUCGCUAGUAAUCGCGGAUCAGCAUGCCGCGGUGAAUACGUUCCCGGGCCUUGUACACACCGCCCGUCACACCACGAGAGUUUGUAACACCCGAAGUCGGUGAGGUAACCUUUGGAGCCAGCCGA